GGCGAGGGGAGGCAGAGGGAGAGAAAAAGAACCUCUAGUAGGCUCCACACACAGUGUGGAACCCAAAGGGGGGUGGGGGGUGGAUCUCACGACCCUGAGACCAUGACCUGAGCCGAAAUCAGGAGUCAGAUGCUUAACCGACUGAGCCACCCAGGCAUCCUCGAAAAUCUUUUGGUCAGUCUUGAAAGUGUAAGGAAUUUAUUUUAUUUUGCUUGGAUGUGCAUAUCUGUGUCAUUACAAAAAGUCAACUAUUUUCUAGAUUCAGUAGGAAAGAUUAGCACGGGUACGCUCAUUUCCUUCCCACUGCCUGGAAUGUUCAGCACAGAUCACAUUAUCAGUUUUCCAAAACAGAGUGGUUCUUUCUCAUCUUUCACACGCUUCCACGCCUCCCAUUUCUCAUUCCCUUGUAUCAUCUUCAUAUAGAUCUGAAUUUCAGGCUUGGAGAUCCCUCUUAAAGUAAACUGAUCUUCUGUGAUCUGUCCUUUAGAAAGACACAGGCCCUCAUAAUCCUCCAUAAGUAACAUUCCAACCAAUCUCUUGGAAUCAGAGACACGAACAUCCCUUUCCCUUCUACUAUCUUUUUUCUCCUAGCAUUUUCCUCUUCCAAAAUUUUCAAAAUUAUUUUAUAUCAAUAGUUUAAAUGAUAAUAAAGGUAAUAUCUGCAAAAAGCUCUCUGUCUCCAUUACUUUUCUGUCUCAUAUAAUGUUGCCUUCAGACUCCAAAUAAUUUUCUGUGGUAAUAAAAGGAGCUUUUUUCACCACAGAGGUAGAUGAUAAUCAUCUUGUCUACCCAUCACAUUCAAAUCGGUCAGAUGAAAAUGAAAAUUGCUCAUUCAACCCCCAACCAUAUUUAAAUAUAGAAGGUAAUGCUGCCCACUUUCCCUUUAUUGUACUUUGAAAUCCAGGAGUCUCCAGGAGAUACCACAGCAUGUCGGUUGUUAUGUAAAAACACCCAUCCCCUUUGCUGAUCAGAUUGACAGCCUACCGUUAAAAUGUUGGGACCCAGUGAAGACAUGAACAAAUUUAACACUGAACAAAACAUGGCAUUGCCAAACAAAUCCAAAGGGAAGAGAUAACAAAUAUGCUUUAUAGAAUGAAGCUGAGAUAAAAGUGAUUCAGGAACUGCCAAGCAGAAGGCCAAAUUAAUUUAUUUGCAUCUCUAAACCCUAAAUUGAGCUUUAAAAAUAAAAUGUUAAAUUUGUAUUCCUCUUGGUUUCCUCCUUGUCAUGUUCUAAUCCUGCGUCAUCAUCCCAGAGGAAGCUUGAUUGGACGGAACUAGUGAAGAAACUGAGAGCUGUGGUCAUCAGCAGACCAUCCUCUCAUUUUUCCAUAGACACGUAUCAGAACUAAAGGAUCAUAAUCAUUCUCUGGGUUCCCCUCUCCAUUCCCAACUCACAUUGUCUUUUGAGUUUUAGGUGUCUUGCUUGACGAUUUUUUAAAAAAUAAAAUUAUGAGGAGAAAUAAUGUUUUCAGAUUUUGAAAUACUUCAGUCUUGGAAAAUGAUUUUUCAAAUGAAUGGGAAAGCUCGUUGGGAGCUCCUUGAGAGUGGAGGGACUGUUUUAAUUAUCUUUGUUUCUCAAAAUGCAUUGAGGUGCUCAAUAAGUGUUGGAGGUUCUAAGCCAGGUAACUCACUUGGAUGGACUGUUCAACUGAACUGAAUAGACUUCCUACUUGCAUCUGCAAACAGAAAGGGCAUUCAGGUCAGGACUUGGAUCAGGACUCAGGAUCAAUAAUCUAUUAUCUUUGUAGGCUACAAUAAAGACAUGAUUAUUAGUCAUGCCAUUUUUCUUUCAACCAUUUACUUAUUUCUCAAUGCAAUAUUAAAGGAAAAUUACCCAAGGUAUAAAACUUUAAAAAAUAGCAACAGAGAGGAAAUAACUAUAAUAUGCCUAUAGAAAUAACUUCUGAUUUUCCGAUUUUUUUUUCUCCAUAACGCAUACCACAAUUAGCGACUUAGUUUUUAUCCUCAAAGCUACUACAAAGAUGGGCCGGAGCCUCUGCAAAACAGGUAACAUCUCGGGAUACUGAUAACACCCAUAAAUAACAAAGCACUGAUGGAAAAUGGCAUAUGAAACUCCAUCCCAGGGAUACAAACUUUCUAAAAAUUCAUAAAGAAGAGAAAUUGAUGUAUUUGAGAAAGGCAGAACUAAAUAAAACAUGAGAAUGAUCUAGUGACAGCGUUAUAGAAAAAUGAGGACAGCUCUGGCCUCAGGUUGCAAGCUAAUCGACAGUGUGGGUAUAAUUUUUGUAGGUGAACUCUCUGCCUGAGGUGUGACCCACAUUUGUACAUCGUACAGGAAGUCCUAACAGCAUAUUACCGAUGGCCAAGACUCACACAAAGAUCCCCUUAACCACUGUGAUUCAGACAUAUCUAAUCUGAAAGGUGAGGCUUUUAGUUACACUAAGAAAUAGAAUGAAAAUAGAAAAGGCUGACAGGCUCAUGUCCAUUUUUUUCCCCUGAUUGUUGGGGCUUUUCUAUAUUGAACAUAAAGUGGAUGCAGUGGCCCGAUCGUAAGGUAUUGAGCCAUGAUAUUUCAUGUUAUAAUUAUCGUGGCGUUCGUGGGAAAUUCUACUAGGUGGAAGCUGUCAUGGCCUUAAAUGAAAAGUGAAUUAUAUUCAGUGUUGUCUCCUGUAAACUGAAAUCUAUGAGGGCAAAUUCAGAACGGACAUGUAAAUGUUUUUUGGAAAUGCUUUUUCCAAGAUACACAGAAGGCUGUUUAUUUGAUUAUUGAAAGUGAUUUCAGGUUUAGUGCAUACGCUCGGUGAAAGUUUCCCCAUAUCUAGGACCUGUACAGAACAUAUUACUGAUUUGAAUUACGUCUUAAUAUCUACCUUCCUAUUCCCCUAGCUGCCACCACCUACCCACGUGGGCGUAUGACACCGGGAAACAGAAAGUAGUGAUUUGAGUUCUUUGCAAAGAAAAUCAUGUUGAUAGUGUAUUAUUAUUACAUUUAGAACAGGUGCUGUAUAUUCGCCUCUCACUUUUGUUUUUCAUUCAACAAAUCUGUAUUGAUUGCUUAUAAUCUGGUACAAGAGUUUCUGUUUGGUGCCCAUUUUUAAAAAUCUGACUGCACAGAGAAAGCUAAGGGCUAAUCGCAGCCCUGAUGAGAAUUAGGAACAUGAGAGUCAUGGGUGUGUUACAUCUUUACAGGGCUUUACAGUUUAUAAACUGCUUUCAUAGUGUUAAACGUCAUUCUUUUAACAUUUAUCCAAAAUGUUUAUAGGAAUCACUUGAGGAUUUUAUUAAAAUGUCGGUUCUGAUCCAACAGGUCUGGUCUGUGGCCUGAGUACCUGCAUUUCUGCAAGGUCCUGUUGGUGCUUGUUCAUGGUUCAUUUCCAGUAGCAAGGCACCUUUUCCACUUGUUCCUCCUUUGCUGCAGACAAACUUGAGUAGACAGGCCGGAUGACUAAUUCAGGCACAGGGCCAGAGCUGGUCAAGCCAGGAUUAGUACACUUGAUUCCGACCAGGGUCAGCACCGCGCCCCUUGAUGUCACUGAAAGUAGUGCUUACAGAGAGACCCUCUAAAAAGAAUUAGGAGUAAAAGUAAUACACGCUUUUAAAGAAACAUGCAAAAUGAGACAGGAGGGUUUGUUUUUUUUCUUUUUUGAUCCUCAAAAUUUUCAGAAUACUGCCUAAGAAACUUCCAGCUUUGCCAUACAUACAAUGGACUUGUGAAGGAUCAUUCUUUUUUUGAUAUCUCCACAUUUUAAAUAGAACAGAUUUUAUUUUUUAAGAUUUUAUUUAUGAGAGAGAGAGAGCAUGUGCAUGAGUGAAGGGGGAGCAGAGAGGGAGGGAAAAGCUGACUCCCUGCUAAGCGGGGAUCCUGGUGCGGGGUUCAAUUCCAGGACCCUGGGGUCACGACUGGGCUGGAGGCAGAUGUUUAACUGACUGAGCCACCCAGGUGCCCCAAUAGAACAGAUUUUAGAAGAAAAGCAUGGCAAUACUGUUUGCUAUCUUAAAAAGUAGUGAAUUUAUCCUUAGAACUAUUGAAACCCAUUAAUUUGGACAAGCCCCUAAUAUUUACUUCUCUGAUACCAUGUUCCAAAAGGAACACUCUGUUUUUUAUGUCCCUGCUCAUGACCCCAAAAUUUAGUAAGAUCUUAAAAGAGAUGUCUUAGUGCCAAAAUGUAGAACAAAACAAAACAAAACAAAGCAAACCGCCAUGGGAGGAUGAGAGACUUCAUAAUAUAUUUUCUAAGUGGUUAUAGAACAGGGACCAGAACCCAGUUCUCUUUUUCUCUAUAUUCUUCUCCUUAGCUGCCUGGGAAUGAUAGACAAACCUGGUCUUUACUGACAGUCAGUAAUGAAGUAAAUCUCAGAGCUCACUGAGGAUUAAUGGAUUUACCGAAGUAACUUGUGGGUAGUUAAGAUUUGACUCAAUAAAAGCUGGAACCACUUUCUCUAGCUGAGUGUAGUGCGUCCAUUACUUGAUAAAGCUUAAAAGUAGUUCUCUGGAUGACACUGAUUAUUCAGGAACCUGACUCUCAUGGACU
rnacentral:lncRNA from 1 species